AGUGAACGCUGGCGGUAGGCCUAACACAUGCAAGUCGAACGGCAGCACAGUAAGAGCUUGCUCUUACGGGUGGCGAGUGGCGGACGGGCGAGGAAUACAUCGGAAUCUACUUUUUCGUGGGGGAUAACGUAGGGAAACUUACGCUAAUACCGCAUACGACCUACGGGUGAAAGCAGGGGAUCUUCGGACCUUGCGCGAUUGAAUGAGCCGAUGUCGGAUUAGCUAGUUGGCGGGGUAAAGGCCCACCAAGGCGACGAUCCGUAGCUGGUCUGAGAGGAUGAUCAGCCACACUGGAACUGAGACACGGUCCAGACUCCUACGGGAGGCAGCAGUGGGGAAUAUUGGACAAUGGGCGCAAGCCUGAUCCAGCCAUACCGCGUGGGUGAAGAAGGCCUUCGGGUUGUAAAGCCCUUUUGUUGGGAAAGAAAAGCAGCAGGUUAAUACCCCGCUGUUCUGACGGUACCCAAAGAACAAGCACCGGCUAACUUCGUG
rnacentral:rRNA from 1 species